rnacentral:rRNA from 1 species
UUCUGGUUGAUCCUGCCAGAGGUUACUGCUAUCGGUGUUCGCCUAAGCCAUGCGAGUCAUAUGUUCUUUGUGAACAUGGCGUACUGCUCAGUAACACGUGGAUAACCUGCCCUUGGGUCCGGCAUAACCCCGGGAAACUGGGGAUAAUACCGGAUAACGCACAUAUGCUGGAAUGCUUUCUGCGUAAAACGGAUUCGUCUGCCCAAGGAUGGGUCUGCGGCCUAUCAGGUAGUAGUGGGUGUAACGUACCUACUAGCCGACAACGGGUACGGGUUGUGAGAGCAAGAGCCCGGAGAUGGAUUCUGAGACAUGAAUCCAGGCCCUACGGGNCGCAGCAGGCGCGAAAACUUUACAAUGCGGGAAACCGUGAUAAGGGGACACCGAGUGUCAGCAUCAUAUGCUGGCUGUCCGGAUGUGUAAAAUACAUCUGUUAGCAAGGGCCGGGCAAGACCGGUGCCAGCCGCCGCGGUAACACCGGCGGCCCGAGUGGUGAUCGUGAUUAUUGGGUCUAAAGGGUCCGUAGCCGGUUUGGUCAGUCCUCCGGGAAAUCUGACAGCUCAACUGUUAGGCUUUCGGGGGAUACUGCCAGACUUGGAACCGGGAGAGGUAAGAGGUACUACAGGGGUAGGAGUGAAAUCUUGUAAUCCCUGUGGGACCACCUGUGGCGAAGGCGUCUUACCAGAACGGGUUCGACGGUGAGGGACGAAAGCUGGGGGCACGAACCGGAUUAGAUACCCGGGUAGUCCCAGCCGUAAACGAUGCUCGCUAGGUGUCAGGCAUGGCGCGACCGUGUCUGGUGCCGCAGGGAAGCCGUGAAGCGAGCCACCUGGGAAGUACGGCCGCAAGGCUGAAACUUAAAGGAAUUGGCGGGGGAGCACAACAACGGGUGGAGCCUGCGGUACGCCGGACAACUCACCGGGGACGACAGCAAUAUGUAGGCCAGGCCGAAGACCUUGCCUCGCUGAGAGGAGGUGCAUGGCCGUCGCCAGUUCGUACUGUGAAGCAUCCUGUUAAGUCAGGCAACGAGCGAGAC